GUGAACGCUGGCGGUAGGCCUAACACAUGCAAGUCGAACGACAGCACAGUAAGAGCUUGCUCUUACGGGUGGCGAGUGGCGGACGGGUGAGGAAUGCAUCGGAAUCUACUUUUUCGUGGGGGAUAACGUAGGGAAACUUACGCUAAUACCGCAUACGACCUACGGGUGAAAGCAGGGGAUCUUCGGACCUUGCGCGAUUGAAUGAGCCGAUGUCGGAUUAGCUAGUUGGCGGGGUAAAGGCCCACCAAGGCGACGAUCCGUAGCUGGUCUGAGAGGAUGAUCAGCCACACUGGAACUGAGACAAGGUCCAGACUCCUACGGGAGGCAGCAGUGGGGAAUAUUGGACAAUGGGCGCAAGCCUGAUCCAGCCAUACCGCGUGGGUGAAGAAGGCCUUCGGGUUGUAAAGCCCUUUUGUUGGGAAAGAAAAGCAGCAGGUUAAUACCCCGCUGUUCUGACGGUACCCAAAGAAUAAGCACCGGCUAACUUCGUG
rnacentral:rRNA from 1 species